rnacentral:rRNA from 1 species
CAGUCGCCACGGUAAGACAGAGGAUGCAAGCGUUAUCCAGAAUGAUUGGGUGUAAAGCGUCUGUAGGUGGCUUUUCAAGUCCGCCGUCAAAUCCCAGGGCUAAACCCUGGACAGGCGAUGGAAACUACCAAGCUGGAGUAUGGUAGGGGCAGAGGGAAUUUCCGGUGGAGAGGUGAAAUGCGUUGAGAUCAGAAAGGCACCAACGGCGAAAGCACUCUGCUGGGCCGACACUGACACUAAGAGAUGAAAGCCAGGGGAGGAAAUGGGAUUAGAUACCCCCGUAGUCCCUGUCUCUUAUACA